GCGAGUGGCGAACGGGUGAGUAAUGCAUCGGAACGUGCCAUUGAGUGGGGGAUAACGUAGCGAAAGUUGCGCUAAUACCGCAUAUUCUGUGAGCAGGAAAGCAGGGGACCGCAAGGCCUUGCGCUCUUUGAGCGGCCGAUGUCAGAUUAGCUAGUUGGUGAGGUAAAGGCUUACCAAGGCGACGAUCUGUAGCGGGUCUGAGAGGAUGAUCCGCCACACUGGAACUGAGACACGGUCCAGACUCCUACGGGAGGCAGCAGUGGGGAAUUUUGGACAAUGGGGGCAACCCUGAUCCAGCCAUGCCGCGUGAGUGAAGAAGGCCUUCGGGUUGUAAAGCUCUUUCGGCCGGGAAGAAAUCGCAUGGGCCAAUACCCUGUGUGGAUGACGGUACCGGAAUAAGAAGCACCGGCUAACUACGUGCCAGCAGCCGCGGUAAUACGUAGGGUGCGAGCGUUAAUCGGAAUUACUGGGCGUAAAGCGUGCGCAGGCGGUUUUGUAAGACAGGCGUGAAAUCCCCGGGCUUAACCUGGGAACUGCGUUUGUGACUGCAAGGCUAGAGUACGGCAGAGGGGGGUGGAAUUCCACGUGUAGCAGUGAAAUGCGUAGAGAUGUGGAGGAACACCAAUGGCGAAGGCAGCCCCCUGGGUCGAUACUGACGCUCAUGCACGAAAGCGUGGGUAGCAAACAGGAUUAGAUACCCUGGUAGUCCACGCCCUAAACUAUGUCAACUAGGUGUUGGGUGGGUAAAACCAUUUAGUACCGUAGCUAACGCGUGAAGUUGACCGCCUGGGGAGUACGGCCGCAAGGUUAAAACUCAAAGGAAUUGACGGGGACCCGCACAAGCGGUGGAUGAUGUGGAUUAAUUCGAUGCAACGCGAAAAACCUUACCUACCCUUGACAUGCCAGGAACUUGCCAGAGAUGCUUGGUGCCCGAAAGGGAGCCUGGACACAGGUGCUGCAUGGCUGUCGUCAGCUCGUGUCGUGAGAUGUUGGGUUAAGUCCCGCGACGAGCGCAACCCUUGUCGUUAAUUGCCAUCAUUUAGUUGGGCACUUUAACGAGACUGCCGGUGACAAACCGGAGGAAGGUGGGGAUGACGUCAAGUCCUCAUGGCCCUUAUGGGUAGGGCUUCACACGUCAUACAAUGGUCGGUACAAAGGGUUGCCAAGCCGCGAGGCGGAGCCAAUCCCAGAAAGCCGAUCGUAGUCCGGAUUGCAGGCUGCAACUCGCCUGCAUGAAGUCGGAAUCGCUAGUUAUCGUGGAUCAGCAUGUCACGGUGAAUACGUUCCCGGGUCUUGUACACACCGCCCGUCACACCAUGGGAGCGGGUUCCGCCAGAAGUAGGUAGCCUAACCGCAAGGGGGGCGCUUACCACGGCGGGGUUCGUGACUGGGGUGAAGUCGUAACAAGGUA
rnacentral:rRNA from 1 species